rnacentral:rRNA from 1 species
UACAGAGGGUGCAAGCGUUGUUCGGAAUUACUGGGCGUAAAGCGUGCGCAGGCGGUGCUGUAAGACCGAUGUGAAAUCCCCGGGCUUAACCUGGGAACUGCAUUGGUGACUGCAGCGCUGGAGUAUGGCAGAGGGGGGUGGAAUUCCACGUGUAGCAGUGAAAUGCGUAGAGAUGUGGAGGAACACCGAUGGCGAAGGCAGCCCCCUGGGCCAAUACUGACGCUCAUGCACGAAAGCGUGGGGAGCAAACAGG